CUUUAGCUCAGUUGGUAGAGCGUCUGAUUCGUAAUUAGAAGGCCAUGGGUUCGAUCCCCAUA
rnacentral:tRNA from 1 species